UCUUGGCUGCUCUGUAUGGGUCCCGGCGUAUGGACCCAUUACAAGGCGGUCUAAACUCUAAUUUUUCUCUCCUUCAUCGCUAAGAAACCGAGGAGCCUUCGGCUCUAAAAUCCUUAAAAAAAGAAAACAAACUCUUUUUUUGGGUCUAAGCCCGGCAAAAACCUUUCGAGCUUUGUGAGCUACGGGGAGAGAGGGGAAUCGGGCUUUGGACAUGGGGCAAGCCUUCCGGAAGCUCUUCGACGCCUUCUUUGGCCUUAAAGAAAUGCGAGUUGUGAUGCUUGGGUUGGAUGCAGCCGGUAAGACAACUAUUUUGUACAAAUUGCAUAUUGGAGAAGUGCUGUCGACAGUCCCAACCAUUGGUUUCAACGUAGAGAAAGUUCAAUAUAAAAAUGUGAUGUUUACAGUGUGGGAUGUUGGUGGGCAAGAGAAACUAAGACCCCUGUGGAGGCAUUACUUUAACAAUACUGAUGGGCUGAUCUAUGUAGUUGAUUCCUUGGACAGAGAAAGGAUUGGAAUGGCAAAACAAGAGUUUCAGGCUAUUAUCACGGAUCCUUUCAUGCUGGACAGUGUUAUAUUGGUAUUCGCUAACAAACAGGACUUGAGAGGGGCAAUGACCUUUCAUUUUCAUGCAGAGAGGGGCAAUGACCCCAAUGGAGGUUUGUGAAGGACUGGGCCUAUACGAUCUGAGGAACCGGAUAUGGCAUAUCCAAGGAACUUGUGCUAUUAGUGGUGAAGGCCUUUACGAGGGACUGGACUGGCUGGCAACUACAUUGAAGGAGCUGAAACCCUUUGGACGUUCCGUGUCAGUUGGCAGCUCCUCAUUCUGAUUGCAAAGGUGCCAGCUCUUGUUUGACUUACUCUGACAAGCAAGCUUUGUGGAUCAUAGAUUGGAGCCAAAGUACCAAGAAUGAUCACAAAGGGAGGGGGUUACCUCCCAUCCGGCCACUCGAGCGUCAGCAGAAUUCGAGCCCAGAUCAUUUGAUAACACCCAUUAGCGGGGUUAGCCAUGCAUCCAAAUGAUUUUACCAACAUGAUAGGUUGGCAGCCACUGAGGUGAUGAUCAUGAGCGAACGCAAGAGUCAAAAAAGUAUCCUGACCCGCUGCUGCAAUGGAAUGGGUAUGAGUCAGGAUUGCAUAUGUUAUUGUCCAAUCCCAAUCUACCUCCAUUGGAUCCAUUGCCACCAUAGAAAUCACUAUCUGUGAUCUUCAUCACAUGUCCUUGUUGCAACCAAAAAAAUAAGUGUUGAAAUGAUGGGUAAAUCAUUCCCCCAUGCUCCAAGCUAGUGAACUUUAAUUUCUUGGCAUUUAUAGGUUGGUUUCGAUAAUCUCUAAAGACGUCAUGGCUGCCCUUAGAGAGAGAUGCUUUACCGACCUUAAGGGGAGAAAACUCCUGUCUCGCUCCUCUUUGUCCAUUCAUGGGAGAAACUAGUGACACUUUGAUCACUCUACUGCGGUCUUCAGUACAUUAAGCAUUCCAAUCUUUCUAGUCUACCCUUGCUUCGUAGAAACUCUAUGUGCAAUCUAGAUAUUCAGCCAGUCGGUUUGUUAAUGAAUUUGGAUCAUUUGAGAUAUCGAGUCACCAAACCAUCCUAAUCGGUUUUUGAAGAAGAUUGGUUUUUCAUGACUUCCCGCUCUAAGUCAUAUCAACAAGUUUGUA